rnacentral:rRNA from 1 species
GGAUCCUACGGGACGCAGCAGUAGGGAAUCUUCCACAAUGGGCGAAAGCCUGAUGGAGCAACGCCGCGUGGGUGAAGAAGGUCUUCGGAUCGUAAAACCCUGUUGUUAGAGAAGAAAGUGCGUGAGAGUAACUGUUCACGUUUCGACGGUAUCUAACCAGAAAGCCACGGCUAACUACGUGCCAGCAGCCGCGGUAAUACGUAGGGGGAAAGCGUUAUCCGGAUUUAUUGGGCGUAAAGGGUGCGUAGGCGGCCCGCUAAGUCUGGAGUGAAAGGGACCGGCUCAACCGGUACAGGCUCUGGAAA